rnacentral:lncRNA from 1 species
UAAUGUACAUUGGGCGACGCUUGAGCUGACAUCUCAAAAUGGACAGAUAAGCCAAUCAAUAAUGUACAUUGGGCGAUGCUUGAGCUGAUAUCUCAAAGUGAAAAUAGAAGGAUUUUUCUUCUUUUUCAAUUUUACAUCACCAUCGACCUUUUUUCCUGAUGCAUCAUGUCUUUUCUCUAAUAAAACAACAUAAAAAAUCCAUCUUCCUGCAACUUCACUAUACCAUACACACAAGACUCCAUCCUCAUAAAAGAUUCUCUCCCUCACCAUAAAAACUCCUUUUCACUCUCCAUACAAAAACUAA